rnacentral:rRNA from 1 species
GCCUUUUGCAGGGGUUGGAUUAGUGGCGAACGGGUGAGUAUCACGUGAGUAACCUUCCCUUGACUCUGGGAUAAGCCCGGGAAACUGGGUCUAAUACUGGAUAUGACCUUCCAUCGCAUGGUGGAGGGUGGAAAGAUUUAUCGGUCUUGGAUGGACUCGCGGCCUAUCAGCUUGUUGGUGAGGUAAUGGCUCACCAAGGCGACGACGGGUAGCCGGCCUGAGAGGGUGACCGGCCACACUGGGACUGAGACACGGCCCAGACUCCUACGGGAGGCAGCAGUGGGGAAUAUUGCACAAUGGGCGCAAGCCUGAUGCAGCGACGCCGCGUGAGGGAUGACGGCCUUCGGGUUGUAAACCUCUUUCAGUAGGGAAGAAGCCUUUUAGGUGACGGUACCUGCAGAAGAAGCGCCGGCUAACUACGUGCCAGCAGCCGCGGUAAUACGUAGGGCGCGAGCGUUAUCCGGAAUUAUUGGGCGUAAAGAGCUCGUAGGCGGUUUGUCGCGUCUGCUGUGAAAGCCCGGGGCUUAACUCCGGGUGUGCAGUGGGUACGGGCAGACUAGAGUGCAGUAGGGGAGACUGGAAUUCCUGGUGUAGCGGUGAAAUGCGCAGAUAUCAGAGGAACACCGAUGGCGAAAGCAGGUCUCUGGGCUGUUACUGACGCUGAGGAGCGAAAGCAUGGGGAGCGAACAGGAUUAGAUACCCUGGUAGUCUAUGCCGUAAACGUUGGGCACUAGUGUGGGGGACAUUCCACGUUUUCCGCGCCGUAGCUAACGCAUUAAGUGCCCCGCCUGGGGAGUACGGCC